CUGAUCAGCCAUGCCGCGUGUGUGAGAAGGCCUUAUGGUUGUAAAGCACUUUAAGCGAGGAGGAGGCUCUCUUGGUUAAUACCUAAGAUGAGUGGACGUUACUCGCAGAAUAAGCACCGGCUAACUCUGUGCCAGCAGCCGCGGUAAUACAGAGGGUGCGAGCGUUAAUCGGAUUUACUGGGCGUAAAGCGUGCGUAGGCGGCUUUUUAAGUCGGAUGUGAAAUCCCCGAGCUUAACUUGGGAAUUGCAUUCGAUACUGGGAAGCUAGAGUAUGGGAGAGGAUGGUAGAAUUCCAGGUGUAGCGGUGAAAUGCGUAGAGAUCUGGAGGAAUACCGAUGGCGAAGGCAGCCAUCUGGCCUAAUACUGACGCUGAGGUACGAAAGCAUGGGGAGCAAACA
rnacentral:rRNA from 1 species